rnacentral:rRNA from 1 species
UACGGGGGGGGCAAGCGUUGUUCGGAAUUACUGGGCGUAAAGGGCUCGUAGGUGGCCAACUAAGUCAGACGUGAAAUCCCUCGGCUUAACCGGGGAACUGCGUCUGAUACUGGAUGGCUUGAGUUUGGGAGAGGGACGCGGAAUUCCAGGUUUAGCGGUGAAAUGCGUAGAUAUCUGGAGGAACACCGGUGGCGAAGGCGGCGUCCUGGACCAACACUGACACUGAGGAGCGAAAGCCAGGGGAGCAAACGGG